GAUGAAGAACGUAGUAAAAUGCGAUACUUGGUGUGAAUUGCAGAAUCCCGUGAACCAUCGAGUUUUUGAACGCAAGUUGCGCCCGAAGCCUUUUGGCCGAGGGCACGUCUGCCUGGGCGUCACGCAUCGCGUCGCCCCCCACAAUUCUCCGUAAAAGGAACAUGUGUUUUGGGGGCGGAUAUUGGUCUCCCGUGCUCAUGGCGUGGUUGGCCGAAAUAGGAGUCCUUUCGAUGGACGCACGAACUAGUGGUGGUCGUAAAAACCCUCGUCUUUUGUUUCGUGCUGUUGCUCGCAAGGUAAACUCUUUAAAAACCCCAAUGUGUCGUCUCUUGACGACGCUUCGACCGCGACCCCAGGUCAGGCGGGACUACCCGCUGAGUUUAAGCAUAUCAAUAAGCGGAGGA
rnacentral:misc_RNA from 1 species